UUCCCGGGCAGCAUCGAGCCCAUCGGAGCCCCCGUCGCCCCGGGCCAGGCCGGUCCCGAACCCCGCAGCAGGAGGGCCCUGGCCGGCUGCGCUGUCCCCGGUGUCACAUUUCGGCCGCGGCCGCUGGGGCUUUCCGGUUGGGUGAGUUUUUCGUGUCUGUGAAGGACCCAGCCCCCAUGGUCAGCACCAGGCGUGCGGGCUGAGGCCAGCAGGUCCCAGGCCGGCUUUCCUGGGACGGGACCCUGACGCCCAGGUCGCGCCUGGAGGAAGCGGGGAGGCGGAGGCGCACCCGGACCUGACCUGAGCUUCCCGCCCCACGGAGGACAAGGGCACCGCGGGGAUCACUUCCCUCCUGGGGAUCUUCAGAGUGAACGCACCGGAGGAGCACACACUGAUGGACAGGACAUGGGUUAUGUCCCCCAAAGGGCUCCCCCCUCGGACCCAUGCAGACCUUCCAGAGGAACUGUCACAGCAGAAGCUCCAUGUGUUGGUACCGACAGGCAGUGUGAUGUCCGAAGAAUCCACACUCAUCGCUAAAACAUUAAAGCAGCAGGAACUGCUUCUGAAAUGUAAA